rnacentral:rRNA from 1 species
AUACGGAGGGUGCAAGCGUUAUUCGGAAUCACUGGGCGUAAAGGACGCGUAGGCGGGUUGGCAAGUCAGAUGUGAAAUCCUACAGCUUAACUGAAGAACUGCAUUUGAAACUGCUAACCUAGAGUAUGGGAGGGGGAGAUGGAAUUAGUGGUGUAGGGGUAAAAUCCGUAGAUAUCACUAGGAAUACCGAAAGCGAAGGCGAUCUCCUGGAACAUAACUGACGCUAAGGCGUGAAAGCGUGGGGAGCAAACAGGAUUAGAUACCCCAGUAGUCCC